rnacentral:rRNA from 1 species
GAUGAACGCUGGCGGCGUGCCUAAUACAUGCAAGUCGAGCGAACGGACGAGAAGCUUGCUUCUCUGAUGUUAGCGGCGGACGGGUGAGUAACACGUGGAUAACCUACCUAUAAGACUGGGAUAACUUCGGGAAACCGGAGCUAAUACCGGAUAAUAUUUUGAACCGCAUGGUUCAAAAGUGAAAGACGGUCUUGCUGUCACUUAUAGAUGGAUCCGCGCUGCAUUAGCUAGUUGGUAAGGUAACGGCUUACCAAGGCAACGAUGCAUAGCCGACCUGAGAGGGUGAUCGGCCACACUGGAACUGAGACACGGUCCAGACUCCUACGGGAGGCAGCAGUAGGGAAUCUUCCGCAAUGGGCGAAAGCCUGACGGAGCAACGCCGCGUGAGUGAUGAAGGUCUUCGGAUCGUAAAACUCUGUUAUUAGGGAAGAACAUAUGUGUAAGUAACUGUGCACAUCUUGACGGUACCUAAUCAGAAAGCCACGGCUAACUACGUGCCAGCAGCCGCGGUAAUACGUAGGUGGCAAGCGUUAUCCGGAAUUAUUGGGCGUAAAGCGCGCGUAGGCGGUUUUUUAAGUCUGAUGUGAAAGCCCACGGCUCAACCGUGGAGGGUCAUUGGAAACUGGAAAACUUGAGUGCAGAAGAGGAAAGUGGAAUUCCAUGUGUAGCGGUGAAAUGCGCAGAGAUAUGGAGGAACACCAGUGGCGAAGGCGACUUUCUGGUCUGUAACUGACGCUGAUGUGCGAAAGCGUGGGGAUCAAACAGGAUUAGAUACCCUGGUAGUCCACGCCGUAAACGAUGAGUGCUAAGUGUUAGGGGGUUUCCGCCCCUUAGUGCUGCAGCUAAUGCAUUAAGCACUCCGCCUGGGGAGUACGACCGCAAGGUUGAAACUCAAAGGAAUUGACGGGGACCCGCACAAGCGGUGGAGCAUGUGGUUUAAUUCGAAGCAACGCGAAGAACCUUACCAAAUCUUGACAUCCUUUGACAACUCUAGAGAUAGAGCCUUCCCCUUCGGGGGACAAAGUGACAGGUGGUGCAUGGUUGUCGUCAGCUCGUGUCGUGAGAUGUUGGGUUAAGUCCCGCAACGAGCGCAACCCUUAAGCUUAGUUGCCAUCAUUAAGUUGGGCACUCUAAGUUGACCGCCGGUGACAAACCGGAGGAAGGUGGGGAUGACGUCAAAUCAUCAUGCCCCUUAUGAUUUGGGCUACACACGUGCUACAAUGGACAAUACAAAGGGCAGCGAAACCGCGAGGUCAAGCAAAUCCCAUAAAGUUGUUCUCAGUUCGGAUUGUAGUCUGCAACUCGACUACAUGAAGCUGGAAUCGCUAGUAAUCGUAGAUCAGCAUGCUACGGUGAAUACGUUCCCGGGUCU